rnacentral:lncRNA from 1 species
AGAUUUUAUUUAUUCAUGAGAGGCAGAGAGAGAGGCAGAGAGAGAGGCAGAGAUAGAAGCAGGCUCCAUGCAAGGAGCCCGAUACGGAACUCGAUCCCAGGACCCCCGGGGGAUCAUGCCCUGAGCUGAAGGCAGACACUCAACCACUGAGCCACCCAGGCAUCCCAAUAACAGGAUUUGUUUUGGAACUCGUGAAAUGAUCCUAACGUUCAUCUAGGGAAAAAAUGUUAUAUAUUUAUUAGGUACUACCAAAACAUAAAAAUGCAAAAGGACUGAAAGUUAAAGAAUGGAUAUACCAGACAAGUGUUAAAGGAAUAAUAGCAUUAACUAUAUUACUAUAGCAAUGAUUUUGAGACCAAAAAUAUCUCUAGGCAGUGUUUCAUUUAAGGCAAUAUAGUGAAUGAUAUAAACUAGUUAUCUAGAAAUUUAGGAUAAGAUAUAAUUUAAAACAUCAUUUUAGCUCACAGGAAAAUAUACCCAGGUACCAAAACUGAACAAGAAACUAAAACCAGAGUUUAGCUGCCCUCACUGCUUUGGCCAACACGACCAGAAAUAGUAGAAAUUUGAAGAUCUUGAUAUCUGCAGAGGUUGAAUUAUAAUAUUCAGGAAGCCACAUGACGCAAGGAGGAACUGGGGCUACACACACACACACACACACACACACACACCACAACCAACCAAAUGCCUGGACUCAUGAAAGUAAAAAUUAGAAAAAAAAAAAAAAAUCUUCCCACUAGCAAAGAGAGAUAACAAAGGUUAUAGUCCUUGCCUAGGUUUUGGAGUGAUAGUGGGGAUGUCCCCUAAGAAUUUAUAAUCAUAGUCUGUAUUACUGAGCACAGUUUAUUUUUAAAUUAUUUAUAUAUAUAUUUUUAGAUUUCAUUUAUUUAUUCAUGAGAGACACAGAGAAAGAGGCAGAGACACAAGCAGAGGGAGAAGCAGGCUCCAUGCAGGGAAGCUGAUGCGGAACUCGAUCCCGGGACUCUAGGAUAACGCCCUGGGCCAAAGGCACGCACUAAACCGCUGAGCCAUCCAGGAAUCCCUUAUUUUUUAUUGUUUUUUAAAAAAUAUUUUUUAAAUUUAUUUAUUCAUGAGAGACACAGAGAGAGAGAGGCAGAGAGAGAAGCAGGCUCCCCAAAGGGAGCCUGAUGUGGGACUCGAUCCUAGGAUCCCAGGAUCAUGACCUGAGCCAAAGGCAGGCAUUCAACACUGAGCCACCCAGAUGCCCCUGAGCACAGAGUUUAAAAUUAAUACUACCUACUGGACUA